UAUACGUAUAUACACACACACACACAUAUAUAAAGCAAAUUGUGACCGUUGUGUAGUGAGAGAAUGAUUUUUUUUUUAUUCCUUUCAGUCUUUUUCAUGUGUCAUUUGUGUAUGAGAACUGUUGAAGCUUAGAGAUGAAUGACUUAGAAAUUUUGUCUUGGAUCUCAAAGGGUAGUAACAUCUCAGAGGGUCAGUUCUACCCAGUGUUUGGACCUCAGUUUUCCAGAACCAGGCUCUCGAUUUUUUUUUUUAAAGAAGCUUUAUUAAGUUAUGUUUUAUAUACCAUAAAAUUCACUCCAUUCAAUUAGAUUUUUUUGGUUACAUUUUGAACAUUUCUGUCAUCCCCCAAAGAUCCCUGUGCCCAUCCAGGCCUGCCUUUUGCAUAACUCUAAGCGUGCACAGUCCCAUUCCUGUUUGCAGUGUUCUCUCCUGGACCAGCUUUGAAGAAUGCCAUCCGGGACUUUGAGUACCCCUGCUCCACACUGUCAAAAUCCUUUCAGAGAACUCUGCUCCCAGAAAACAAAAGCCAAGGAAACAGAUUUGUUUUAGGCCCAGUGAUAGAACUCUUCUCAAAGGAAAGGUGACAUUUAGGUCUAGUUUAUUCUCAGAACAGGGAAAAAAAAAAAUCCUAGCAAGGAGCACAGCAUGCAUCAGUAGCUCAAUGAUUUAUUCUGCCUCAGUAGGAUGGGGUGGACUUACUGGGCAACCACUGACUUCAUUUAAUGGUAACCUGCAGGCUGUGAUUUUAGUGCUUUUGACCGACCAGUUGGUAUGCUGAAGAAUGCUUUGUGGGCCUUCGUGAACACCUUAUUUUGUAGAAGUGAGUCUUUGGAAGUAUUUUUACUCUUACCAGUGGGCACAGUUAUCUGUUUACCAGGUCCAUAGCAAAG
rnacentral:lncRNA from 1 species